AUGUUGAAGAAUAAAGAAUGUGAAGAGAGAUGGGAGGGUUCAUAUGAGAGUGAAGAGAGUUUGUGUGUGUUUUACAUAGCAGGUAUUGGUGUUCAGAAAAAUUCAGUGUUAGGGAAAGAGUGGCAACUGUUCAUCCAAAAAAUGAUUUUGAAUUCAAAACAGUACCUUUUUAGUUACUAUUUAAUUGUACUUGAACUACAAAGAUAA